rnacentral:rRNA from 1 species
UACGUAGGGUGCGAGCGUUGUCCGGAAUUAUUGGGCGUAAAGAGCUCGUAGGCGGUGUGUCACGUCGGCCGUGAAAACCUGGGGGCUUAACUCUGGGCGUGCGGUCGAUACGGGCAUCACUAGAGUUCGGCAGGGGAGACUGGAAUUCCUGGUGUAGCGGUGAAAUGCGCAGAUAUCAGGAGGAACACCGGUGGCGAAGGCGGGGUCUCUGGGCCGAUACUGACGCUGGAGACGCGAAAAGCCGUGGGG